ACCGCGAUCGACUGGUUGGGCACUCCUGCGCUACUGUCACCGUAGCUGAGGAGAUCCGCGAGAAGGGCCCGACACACGUCCAGAGUCGCCGCCGACCGCCGCCCGAGCCUAAAGCCCCCACACCCGACAUCCACGCCCGGUCGAGGCGACCCUCAAGCCCCCCGCAUGCUGCCAGACGUUUUGCAGAAGAUGGAGGAGUUUCUCCGCUCAGCACCAAGACCAACGACAACACCAGCACCAACAGCAGUUCCAGCACCAGCAACAGAAGACCCAUCACCAGCUCCAGGUCCAUCAUCAGCAUCAGCAACAGAGGCCCUGGGCCACUCUAUGCUGCAAAGUUGAAGUUCACCUACGUAACUAAUACGAACAUAAAAGCAUUUAUACGACAAAAGCUGAACAAUGCUGCCAAAUUUCAG
ensembl:lncRNA